GAUAGACAAGAGUCUGAGGACAUCAUUCCAGACAGCAGUGCACACAGUGGACAUGGACAUCAACAUCAACUGAACCUGAAUCCCGUGAUCAUGAAAAUCAAUCAAUCAAUAAAAAGCAUCACUACAUAAAUACAUCCACAUCACACACUACCUCAGCAGUUCAGUCCAUCCAUGUUGGAUAUGAUAUCAGUAUCAGAGCUCUGAGUAUCGGUAUGUUCUGGUAAAAACAGACCAGUUAUGCAAAACGCCAUAGACAAAACACGAGAGGAUUUGCGUCCUGUAGGAGUGGGUGUGAUUUGUGUCGUUACUAGGGAUAGGUACCGCAACCCGGUAUUAAACUGGCCUUGGUGCUAAAUUACCAUAGUAUCGAUAAGAUCUGACGCUAUCGGUUCUGCUUUCGGUACCGGAGAAAUUAAGAAAACAUGUUUCCUAUUUACUAUUGCUAAAUAAACGUUAUCUUGCACAUUUUAUCUCAACAACCAUUUAUAAUUUGCCAUAAUAUUGAGACAUUCGUCUGCAUUUUCGUUAUUUGCAAUCCAGAUUUGAAAUCUCUCGUGCGUGGAGGAUGUCUGUCACGCGCACACAACACGAAAGCUCCCGCUUAACACACAGAGUGACGAUGGUGGAGACAACCAAACGUUAAUAAGUGUGCUCACACUUCACUAGAGUUGAUGCAGACAAUGCAGUUGCCACAAAUGCAACAAGAUUUCUACUUGUAAAUGCUGAAACACAAGCAGUCCAUCAAAGCAUCUUUCAAACGUGCAUUAUGUGCAGACAGAGAAAUGCAAAGUUUUCAACUGCCUAGCUAGCUCGUGUCUGGUUUCUCAUCUACGUCAGGUAUGUAUGCAGGGAGUCUUCCCAAAUGACAUAUAAUCAUCGCAUAAUCCAGGUCUCUUGUGGCAUCGAAACAAUCAUUACGUUUACAUGGACAACAAUAAUCUAAUUAUUGCGCUUAUUCUGAAUAAGACAAUGUUGUGAUUAAGGUGUUUAUAUGAGCCAUGUUUAGAAUACUCCUUUCAUGUUCAUGUUUUACAUGUUAUAGAACAUAGAUCGAUUAACGGUACACGUCAUUACGUCACCGCGCC
ensembl:lncRNA